rnacentral:misc_RNA from 1 species
GCCCAUGAUCGUCAUUUCGUAAGAAUGCAAACGACGUCGUAGCGGCGACGAAUAAUACCUUUCUCCUGGCUCGAUGCGAUCGAUCGCGCUGCGUAUCAGUGCAGUGGCUUGUCCCCUAAGUCGAGCAGUUCCUUUCUCCUUUAUGAUUUAGUAGAAUCAAAGAGCAAACAAAGAACAAAUCGCACCGAAAAAAAGGGCUCCGCGAUAUUAGAAAAGCAGCUAAGAAACUAUCAGAGGGGCUUAAACUGAAAUGGCUCGAUACGAUCGCGCAAUUACGGUGUUCUCUCCGGAUGGACAUUUGUUCCAAGUGGAGUAUGCUCUCGAAGCCGUCCGCAAGGGAAACGCCGCUGUAGGUGUUCGCGGCACUGACGUCGUCGUUCUCGGUGUCGAGAAGAAAUCCACCGCCAAACUUCAAGAUGCUAGAACGGUGAGGAAAAUUGUUUCAUUGGAUGAUCACAUAGCACUAGUAUGUGCUGGGUUGAAAGCAGAUGCUCGUGUUUUGGUCAACAGGGCUCGCAUUGAGUGUCAGAGCCAUAGGCUUACUGUUGAGGACCCUGUAACAGUCGAAUAUAUAACACGUUACAUUGCUGGCCUGCAACAGAAGUAUACACAAAGUGGUGGUGUGAGACCAUUUGGUCUUUCAACCUUAAUUGUUGGUUUUGAUCCCUACACUGGUGUCCCAUCUCUUUAUCAGACAGAUCCAUCUGGAGCAUUUUCAGCCUGGAAAGCCAAUGCUACUGGGAGAAACUCAAAUUCAAUGCGGGAGUUCCUGGAAAAGAAUUAUAAAGAAACUUCAGGGCAAGAAACUGUGAAGUUAGCAAUUCGUGCUUUGCUUGAAGUUGUUGAGAGUGGGGGUAAGAACAUAGAAAUAGCUGUGAUGACAAAAGAGCAUGGCCUGCGACAGCUUGAAGAAGCAGAAAUUGAUGCAAUUGUUGCUGAGAUUGAAGCAGAGAAAGCAGCAGCAGAGGCUGCAAAGAAGGCUCCCCCAAAGGAAACCUAGAUCUUCUAUAGUUCUCAUUUGUUAUCUUGUAUUGAGUGAUUAGCUUCUUCACUGCUACAUUACCAUUUUAUGUUUAACAUUAAUUUCUUUGUCAAAGCAACACCUUAUUUCAGGACUCCACCACUCUUGUGCGUUUCUCUCUCUAUAAUGGCCAUCUUGGUUUGGUAAUUAGUGAUAUGUUUAUAUAUUAAAAUAUGUUGAAUGUUGUUGCUUCAUGUUGGAACAUGAAUGUUCUGGAUUUGAGUUUUUGUCAGUUUAUAGAAUAAGUUCCUAUUCCCUUUUUGGAAA